rnacentral:rRNA from 1 species
AGAGUUUGAUCCUGGCUCAGGAUAAACGCUGGCGGCGUGCCUAAUACAUGCAAGUCGAUCGAUAGAAGUCCAGCUUGCUGGACGGAAAUAGAGGCGAACGGGUGAGUAAUACGUAAGCAACCUGCCCACGAAGACCGGGAUAAUCCCUGGAAACGGGGACUAAGACCGGAUAGGUACACAGAUCGCAUGAUCAGUGUAUUAAAGGAGAGAGACACUGGUGGAUGGGCUUACGGUGCAUUAGCUGGAUGGUGAGGUAACGGCCCACCAUGGCGAUGAUGCAUAGCCGGGCUGAGAGGCUGAACGGCCACAUUGGGACUGAGACACGGCCCAGACUCCUACGGGAGGCAGCAGUAGGGAAUUUUCGGCAAUGGGGGCAACCCUGACCGAGCAACGCCGCGUGAGUGAUGAAGGUCUUCGGAUUGUAAAGCUCUGUUGUAAGGGAAGAACGGCAUCUAGAGAAUAGGUGAGUGACGGUACCUUACCAGAAAGCUACGGCUAACUACGUGCCAGCAGCCGCGGUAAUACGUAGGUAGCGAGCGUUAUCCGGAAUUAUUGGGCGUAAAGGGUGCGUAGGCGGCCUGUUAAGUUUAUGGUGAAAGCGUGGGGCUCAACCCCAUAAAGCCAUAGAUACUGGCAGGCUAGAGUACUGGAGAGGGUAGUGGAAUUCCAUGUGUAGCGGUAAAAUGCGUAGAUAUAUGGAGGAACACCGGUGGCGAAGGCGGCUACCUAGACAGAGACUGACGCUGAGGCACGAAAGCGUGGGGAGCAAAUAGGAUUAGAUACCCUAGUAGUCCACGCUGUAAACGAUGAAUGCUAGGUAUCGGGGCGACCCGGUGCCGAAACUAACGCGAUAAGCAUUCCGCCUGUGGAGUAUGCACGCAAGUGUGAAACAUAAAGGAAUUGACGGGGGCCCGCACAAGCGGUGGAGUA